rnacentral:rRNA from 1 species
GUUUAGGGGUAAACCUGAGAAACCCGAAAGGUCGAAGGGAGAAAUUCAUUCGCGUUUCGCAGUUGGCGUGAGAUGGUCGUGCGACGGAGAUCGUUCGCGUUUUCCGCACCUUCCGUUUUCGCGAUCUGACAGCGAACGCGUGCACUUUUCUCCUGGUAGGACGUCGCGAUCCGUUGAGUGUCGGUCUACGGCUCACGGUGGAGCCCGUUCGACGACUUGUCGUUUCGAGCGGACCCGUGAUGACCUGACCGACUCGCUCGACGGUAUACGAAAGGUUGAAGGCCGCUUUUAAAGCGUUCGACUCGUGGCAAGCGCGCCAGUUGUGACGGCGAUCGGACCUGGUGCCGAUUCUGUCCUCUGGUGACUGUUGGCUGCGAAUGUCUCGAACAGACCUUCCGUAACCGAUCUGCGACGCUAUAGCUUUGGGUACUUUCAGGACCCGUCUUGAAACACGGACCAAGGAGUCUAGCAUGUGCGCGAGUCAUUGGGAAUCACUAAACCUAAAGGCGCAAUGAAAGUAAAGAUCUGCCUCGCGCAGAUUGAGGGAGGAUGGGCGGUUUACCCUUAAAAGUAGCCGCUCCGCACUCCCGGGGCGUCUCAUUCUCAUCGCGAGAAGAGGCGCAUCAAGAGCGUACACGCUGGGACCCGAAAGAUGGUGAACUAUGCCUGGUCAGGACGAAGUCAGGGGAAACCCUGAUGGAGGUCCGUAGCGAUUCUGACGUGCAAAUCGAUCGUCGGAACUGGGUAUAGGGGCGAAAGACUAAUCGAACCAUC